AUUAUGUCAUAAUUGCUCCAUCGCCGGUGACUCUCCGGCCAUCUACCUCCGUCGUUGUUAUCUAUCGUCAUAGUUCUUUAGAAACAGGAAUCACCUGCCAUGAUCAAGUUGUAUAAUGACCGGAGAUCAUUGGAUGCCCUGGUGCAGCAGAAGGUGCUGAUUAACAGAUAUUAUAAAUCUUUUUGAAAGAGGAUGGACAUGAUGUUUUUUGAUUUUGGCUAAAGAAAGAUGAACCACAUGCAUGCCCCGUGUGCUUUAACAUAAUUGAAAUGGGUCGAAGAUUCAAACAAUAAUAUAUCUCAGACAGAGAGUGGUUUGGGCCAAACCAUCUGUUUUGAACUCGAGAAAAAUCAACCAUUACUUCAUAUCGACCUUAAAUAAUUUGAAACUCGAGAAAAACAAUAUCCAAAAGUUCAAUGAUUAACAUUGAUAACUUGUCAUCUUCAUGCUUCACAGUUGAAAGUGGUGGGCCAGGAGGACCUCCAGAUUGUCACGGUGACGAUAAUGAACAUCACUGAUUGCAACAGCUUCCAUCUUCAUGUAGUAGAAUAAGAAUCUGGUGACAUUACAGGACAGAGUCAUCUCAAGCUCUCAUCAGCACAAGGUUGUCUGUCACUAAAUCCCACAGCAUUGAGUCAUCUAAUACUCGUAAGGGGCAAGAGUGUAGU